rnacentral:rRNA from 1 species
AUUGAACGAUGGCGGCAGGCCUAACACAUGCAAGUCGAGCGAGCGGCGGACGGGGGAGUAAUGUAUGGGGACUGCCCGAUAGAGGGGGAUAACUACUGGAAACGGUAGCUAAUACCGCAUACUAUCGGAUAACCCAUAUGGGAUUAGCUAGUAGGUGGGGUAAUGGCUCACCUAGGCGACAAGCCCUAGCUGGGCUGAGAGGGUGAUCAGCCACACUGUGACUGAGACACGGCCCAGACUCCUACGGAGGCAGCAGUGGGGAAUAUUGCAAAAUGGGCGCAAGCCUGAUUCAGCCAUGCCGCGUGUAUGAAGAAGGCCCUAGUGUUGUAAAGUACUUUCAGUCGGGAGGCGUUACCGACAGAAGAAGCACCGGCUAACUCCGUGCCAGCCGCCGCGGUAAUAC